CAAAAAAGGCAAAGGGCCAAGUUUUAUGUGAUUCUACUAAAUAAAUAAUCUUAGGGGAUGUGCCAGUCUAAGGCAUUCUGACAAACUACAUGGCUAUAUCUCUUUAUCCCUGAAUAAACUACUCCAGAUGAAAAAAGGUCGUUGAGGGAGACUGCAUUAAGAUUUUCAGUUAAGUUCCCUCAGCCAUCAUCCCGGGAAGCAGCCCUUGUGGAAAUAAAGCCUGGAAGCUGUUCCUUCAGGUGCUAUUACAAGCACAGUUACUGAAGACCAGAAAAUAAAGUUCUUACCAUUGAAAUCCUUGGCCCCAUCAAAUGAUUCAGCAUCAGAAAUCAAUGUGUUUUAUCAACAGAAAUGACAUUAAAGAAGAGGUACUCUGUCCACUGUUUCACGUAGUUGCUUCCAUCAUGAUGAUUGGUUCAGUUUUGGAGAUGUUGAAGUAACGGUGGAGGAUUCAAAGAGCAAUAUUGUAAUCUGCUGGUGUCCACUGUAUAUAUGUCUACUAGGCUAUA